UCCAUGGUUAAAACUCUUAAAACCAUAGACAUAGAGCAUAGAGCUCUGAUACUCCAUGGUUAAAACUAAAAUGAUUCUUUCGAAUUUUGUGACAUUUCAUCCGCUUUCUUUGUACGCUUCCUUUUCUAAGCAUUUAUAGGUAUAACCUAUAUAUAUCGUUGACGGAGCAAACUCUGUCUAGUGUCUACGAUAUAUCGCUCAUCCAGAACGACAGUGUCAUAAUUACAUUUUUGUAACUUUACAGUAUGAGUAUUUGAAAGUUUGGGACUAAAAAUUUAGGGAAGUUCUUCAUAUUAUCGAAUUAUGUUUUACAUACUUGUCCAGGUUAGUUAAUAAGUGUUUCCGAAUGGUUGUUCAAUAGAGCUUGCCCCCGCAAGGUCUGGAAAGAUGUCUGAGAUGACUAUCUUCAAUGGUAUGGGACUGGUCAGAGAUUUGUUUUAGCAUUUCAUACCAAAUUCAAAUCAAGAAUCCGGAAGCGAACCUCCUUCUCAAACAGUCUACUGAUCAAACAUUAACAACAAAGGCACAAGAAUAUAGGUUGUUCAAUCUCUUUUGGAUCAAACACUUCAAACUGGUAUUUAAUUACAGGAGCUUCUUUUAAGUCUUUAGCUUUUAGCUAUCGUAU
rnacentral:misc_RNA from 1 species